CUGAGUACGGCGGAACACGUGAAAUUCCGUCGGAAUCCGGGAGGACCAUCUCCCAAGGCUAAAUACUCCCUAGUGACCGAUAGUGAACCAGUACCGUGAGGGAAAGGUGAAAAGCACCCCGGAAGGGGAGUGAAACAGUUCCUGAAACCGUGUGCCUACAAGUAGUUAGAGCCCGUUAAUGGGUGAUAGCGUGCCUUUUGUAGAAUGAACCGGCGAGUUACGAUUUGUUGCAAGGUUAAGCGGAAAAAGCGGAGCCGUAGCGAAAGCGAGUCUGAAUAGGGCGCAUAAGUAACAGGUCGUAGACCCGAAACCAGGUGAUCUACCCAUGUCCAGGAUGAAGGUAAGGUAAUACUUACUGGAGGUCCGAACCCACGCACGUUGAAAAGUGCGGGGAUGAGGUGUGGGUAGCGGAGAAAUUCCAAUCGAACUUGGAGAUAGCUGGUUCUCUCCGAAAUAGCUUUAGGGCUAGCCUCGAGGUAAAGAGUCAUGGAGGUAGAGCACUGUUUGGACUAGGGGCCCUUCUCGGGUUACCGAAUUCAGAUAAACUCCGAAUGCCAUGUACUUAUACUCGGGAGUCAGACUGCGAGUGAUAAGAUCCGUAGUCGAAAGGGAAACAGCCCAGACCACCAGUUAAGGUCCCCAAAUAUAUGUUAAGUGGAAAAGGAUGUGGGGUUGCUUAGACAACCAGGAUGUUGGCUUAGAAGCAGCCACCAUUGAAAGAGUGCGUAAUAGCUCACUGGUCGAGUGACCCCGCGCCGAAAAUGUACCGGGGCUAAACAUAUUACCGAAACUGUGGAUGAACCUCUUUAGAGGUUCGUGGUAGGAGAGCGUUCUAAGGGCGGUGAAGUCAGACCGGAAGGACUGGUGGAGCGCUUAGAAGUGAGAAUGCCGGUAUGAGUAGCGAAAGAAGGGUGAGAAUCCCUUCCACCGAAUAUCUAAGGUUUCCUGAGGAAGGCUCGUCCGCUCAGGGUUAGUCGGGACCUAAGCCGAGGCCGAUAGGCGUAGGCGAUGGACAACAGGUAGAGAUUCCUGUACCAGUGCUAAUUGUUUAACCGAUGGGGUGACACAGAAGGAUAGGGAAUCGCACGAAUGGAAAUGUGCGUCCAAGCAGUGAGUGUGAGAAGUAGGCAAAUCCGCUUCUCGCGAAGCAUGAGCUGUGAUGGGGAAGGAAAUUAAGUACGGAAGUUCCUGAUUUCACGCUGUCAAGAAAAGCCUCUAGGAAGAGUAGUACUGCCCGUACCGCAAACCGACACAGGUAGAUGAGGAGAGAAUCCUAAGGUGAGCGAGAGAACUCUCGUUAAGGAACUCGGCAAAAUGACCCCGUAACUUCGGGAGAAGGGGUGCUCUAUUAGGGUGCAAGCCCGAGAGAGCCGCAGUGAAUAGGCCCAGGCGACUGUUUAGCAAAAACACAGGUCUCUGCAAAACCGUAAGGUGACGUAUAGGGGCUGACGCCUGCCCGGUGCUGGAAGGUUAAGAGGAGUGCUUAGCUUCGGCGAAGGUACGAAUUGAAGCCCCAGUAAACGGCGGCCGUAACUAUAACGGUCCUAAGGUAGCGAAAUUCCUUGUCGGGUAAGUUCCGACCCGCACGAAAGGCGCAACGAUCUGGGCACUGUCUCAACGAGAGACUCGGUGAAAUUAUAGUACCUGUGAAGAUGCAGGUUACCCGCGACAGGACGGAAAGACCCCGUGGAGCUUUACUGCAACCUGAUAUGGAAUGUUUGUACCGCUUGUACAGGAUAGGUAGGAGCCGAAGAGACGUGUGCGCUAGCAUACGAGGAGGCAAUGGUGGGAUACUACCCUGGCUGU
rnacentral:rRNA from 1 species